rnacentral:rRNA from 1 species
UACGUAGGGGGCAAGCGUUGUCCGGAUUUAUUGGGCGUAAAGAGCUCGUAGGCGGUUGGGCAAGUCACGUGUGAAAUCUCCACGCUCAACGUGGAGGCGCCACGUGAGACUGCCCUGACUCGAGUCCGGUAGGGGAGCGUGGAAUUCCCGGUGUAGCGGUGAAAUGCGCAGAGAUCGGGAGGAACACCCGUAGCGAAGGCGGCGCUCUGGGCCGGUACUGACGCUGAGGAGCGAAAGCGUGGGGAGCAAGCAGG